rnacentral:rRNA from 1 species
ACUACGGGAGGCAGCAGUAGGGAAUCUUCCACAAUGGACGAAAGUCUGAUGGAGCAACGCCGCGUGAGUGAAGAAGGGUUUCGGCUCGUAAAGCUCUGUUGGUAGUGAAGAAAGAUAGAGGUAGUAACUGGCCUUUAUUUGACGGUAAUUACUUAGACAGUCACGGCUAACUACGUGCCCGCAGCCGCGGUAAUACGUAGGUGGCAAGCGUUGUCCGGAUUUGUUGGGCGUAAAGCGAGUGCAGGCGGUUCAAUAAGUCUGAUGUGAAAGCCUUCGGCUCAACCGGAGAAUUGCAUCAGAAACUGUUGAACUUGAGUGCAGAAGAGGAGAGUGGAACUCCAUGUGUAGCGGUGGAAUGCGUAGAUAUAUGGAAGAACACCAGUGGCGAAGGCGGCUCUCUGGUCUGCAACUGACGCUGAGGCUCGAAAGCAUGGGUAGCGAACAGGAUUAGAUACCCUUGUAGUC